GACUGAAACUAACUCGCGUAUAAUUCUUAUAUAUUCUUAAUGACAUUCUGAGUGUUUUGGCCUGUACAAUACGAAUAUUUCAGGGCAGGAAAACCCCUCGCUGAAUAUCUGGCUUAAUCUUCUUUUGGCCUUGAUCGGUCUUCCAAAAAUCUUCUUUUAACAAUGCAAUUGAGGAAGCGGAGGCACACCAAAAGUGGUUAAAUGUGGUCUGGCUUGCCAGUGCACGGGCUGUGAUGGACUUCCUCUGCAAAGUAUUUCAUUUUGGACACAGUCCCUUUCUAAACACAGCGCACCUGGGACAACAGCUUUGGUUCCAGACCCAGUGUUAAUCAGCAGCAAUGCAUGCCUGCCAGCGGCUCGUAUAUACAAUUAAUAUUGUGCCCUGACUUUUAACAGCCGAUACUUAUGAAAACAGAAUACCGCAGAGUGCCACGACUCCAGCGUUUAGCCGAGGCAGAAUGACAACAUUUUUACGGAAAUCUUCCUGAUUGCUGAAAGGAUCUCGAAGAAUUUGCAGGGAAAGUGGCAAAGAAAAAUAUUUAAGCAGCCCUAAUGCAUUCUUUCAUGAGCUGCGGUGUGUCCAUUGCCUCGGCAAUAAGACAAAACAUACCCUGCGGAAUCCGACGGUUGUCUCUUUGGGAAGACAAGUCAUUUCACAUGAAGGUAUCCAUGACUAGGCCGUCUUAGUGUUUGACAUUCCAGUAUUGAUUCCACUCUGAGGGUGUGGAGGGGAUUUCCGUCGUAAUCUCCAGUGAAAGAGGUGCGUGCUGUGUGCUGGAAACACACUCAUGAGCUAAUUCGAGGCAAAGUAAAGCUCUCAUCUGGGAUUGGUAAGAGUCUCUCCAAGCACCCCAAAGACUUCCAGCUCAUUCUUGAUUGCACAUGGCAGCCUCUGACCUGCACCGAAGGCACCCGCUGCCAUGGAAGAUUGAUGAUUAUCGAUGCAGAAACCCUUUGCUAAUUCAGCGUACAAGGGAAACUGCUGCGGUGGACGGAAUAGGUCAGGACUGCAUAAUAUGUGACCAGUCGAAAAUGGACGAGGCGAAGACAACAUGUGUUUUGGUACUGUUUGUACAAUGACGCAAUAAAGCCUGCUUUUGAGCAUUAUGCUGGGCUCUGAGAGAGUGCCCUCUCGCUGGCGUGGUCGUGUAAGAACAGAAACAGUGGAGACCUUAUUCACACCUCGCUCGCUGAGCUCGGUAAGUGAGAUCUGAACAGCACCGCCCAGGAGCUCAGAGCAUUCAACCCAAUGAAUAGGUCAUAAUGUGCAUGUAUAGUAAUGAGGCAUAGAGACCCUUAAACUGUAUACACUCUAUAUUUGAAUUUUCUUCUCUCGUAAAAAUGUCAUCACCUCGCCAUUCUUCAGAAAUUGAGUUUUAGUAUGUGCUUUGAUAAAUGUGCCAUAGCAAUAGGCAUUUAUUUAGACAUUUUGCAAAUGUUUCACAAUGUAUUUUUAAUGAAUAGGACUUUUGUAAUUUAGCUAUGCAGCCAGUGGGCAUAGUGCAUUUUGCCAUGGAAACAACCAAAAGCAACAAUAGUGUCCUUAGCAUUCUAGUAAAGCAUGGCUCUAGCAAUGCCAAGGUCAUGGGAUCGAUUCCCAGAGAAUGCGUGAACUCAUUAAAUGUAUUAGUUAAAAGAACAGUUUACUCAAAAUACAACUUCUGACAUAAUUGACCCACCCUAAUGUCAUUCUGAAUUAAUAUGGCUCACUUUCUUAUGUAAAACACAAUAUAUAUAUAUAUUAUUUUGAAGAAUGUUUUAGCAUAUUAUAUAAGUCAGUGGGAAUCAAAUAUUUCGAGCUCCAAAAGGAAAUAAAAGCAAAACUUCUACACAACUCUCUGGCAAUGCUGCAGUCCUGCCUAUUUAAAGUUUCUCUUUUUUUUUAAUUUAGCUAAAUGACUUAUAGUUCCUCUAUUGGUCACGUGAUCCAAAUUUGGCAGGUUAGAGUUUAACGGAGCUUGAACUUUUGAAUGCAUUGAAAUACACAUUAGCUUGUGUUUCUUGUUUCUGGAAUUGGCAUCCGUAUGACUGUAAGACAAAGGAACAAAAAGUGUGAUGUGACCGCCUUUAAACUUGCAGAUACAAACCUUGUGUGAGAGCCUGUGAGGUUUGAUGUUAGUUUGCAUUUGAGGUUCAUGGCACCAUACUGGAAAUGGGUUCA